rnacentral:tRNA from 1 species
AGGAAUAUAGUUUAUUCAAAACAUUUGAUUUGCAUUCAAAAAAAAUUACUUUUAAUUAAUUAUUCUUA